rnacentral:rRNA from 1 species
AUGCCAGGUGUACCGAGGGAACUCGUUGAGCACACACUUAAUGUUGAUCCCAAGUUUAAACCGGUCAAGCAAUUUCUUCACCGGUUCAAUGAAGAAAGACGCAAAGCUAUUGGUGAGGAGGUAGCCAGGCUCUUGGCGGCUGGGUUUAUCAUCGAAGUGUUUCAUCCUGAGUGGUUGGCUAAUUCGGUGCUAGUACUUAAGAAGAAUGGCACUUGGCGUAUGUGUGUGGACUAUACAGAUCUCAACAAGGCUUGCCCAGCAGAUCCUUUUGCCCUCCCGCGUAUUGAUCAAAUCAUUGAUGCUACGGCGGGUUGUGAGCCUUUAAGCUUUCUGGACGCAUAUUCUGGUUAUCAUCAGAUCAAAAUGGCAGUUAAGGAUCAGGAGAAGACAGCCUUCAUAACUCCUUUUGGAGCCUUCUGCUAUGUGUCUAUGCCCUUUGGGCCCAAGAGUGCACAGGCGACUUAUCAGCGUUGUGUGCAGAAUUGUCUUCAUGACCAGAUCGGCCGCAAUGUUCAUGCUUAUGUGGAUGAUAUUGUGGUAAAAUCUAGGCAGAAG